GCAGUGGCGAGGGCGGCGGUGGCGGGCAAGUGGGAAGUCGCCCGCCCGCGUGGGUUGCUCUCCGAGAGCCCAGCGCUCCCCUCCCCCUCCAGGAGCGGAGGCACCGCGGAGGAGAGCGCUGACCCACGCGGGGGCGGCGCGGGGGCUCUGUGGAGCGAGAACGGGACAAUGAGGACGCGCGCGGCGACGAGCCGGUUCCUGCAGCGGUGGCAGCGGUGGCAGCAGACCAAGUUUCGGGACCGCCGAGGAGGCAGCAAGGGAGCCCUGGGCUCGGGCACGCGCAGGACGAGCCAGCUGCUACCUCGCGUGCCUCGGGAAACUGAACUCCCGGAGGUUCCAGGGCUCCCGGGCCUGGAGGAUGCUGACGGCUCGGGCUGCCCUGCUCCGGCUCACGCGGGGCCCUUCCGGGCUCCUCCCCUCACCUCUCUGCACUCUGCUGCCGGCCGAUCCAGAGACUCUGUAGAAAGUGUAGGUGUCAGCCCCACACCUCCUUUGGAGGAGAGUUGCCUCUCCUUUACCGCCCCCGCAGCUCCCUUGGUGGGAUACCUGGGGCAGGGCAUAUACCUCAAAACACCUAGAGGCUGGUGAAAACCCAGAGAAUUCCCUCGGACCUCCCAUCUCCAGGGAGAACAGUGGCCUUCCGACCCAUGCCCUCCAGGCUCCACCAGUCAGAGGACACCCCAUGUGUUGGUCCCCUAGUCCCCAACUGGCAGUGAUGGCCUCGUGAUAGGAAAAUUUUAGUUUUUCUUUCUACCAAGACUCUCUUUCCCUUAGGGGUCCUAUGCAAGUUGAGUAAAUAGCCUUGUCUCUUGACUAGGGACACCUGUCCCAUUUUCCCAGGACUGUUCCAGUUUCCCCAUAAAAUGAAAACAAAAGCUGCUUUCAGAAAAGGAAACUUCAUUCAGCAUCUCUGCCUGGUUCUGACAGGUUGGAUGCGGGCUGACUGAUCUUCCCUGGCCUCCUUGUUGACCCCCAAGGACAACAAGGUCAGCCUGCCUGACCUCAGCAUCCCUACUACUUCCAUGCUGUUUCCCAUCUUUUGGAGACUGUCAGCUCGUGGCUCUGUGAUCUGAGAAAAAUCAAAUGAUGGGGUAGAGCCAUAAACCACUUUAGGGUUGAGGCACGUCCCAGGAAUUCGGGAUUAGAUGACUGAACAUUUCAUAGGGCUCACACACAUCCGGAUGGUACCACUUGCCACACACAUAGUCUGUGGCACAGAGAGACUGUACGUGGCCCAUUGUUCCCAGGGCCAUAAGAAAAUAAUGAACAAAACCUUAAGCACAAGAGAAAAUGAUGCAACUGAGAGACAUGGUAAACAUGAAAUAAUAUGAGCAUAUGGUGUUACAGUAAUUUUUAUAAGUAGGAGCGCACCCUAAAAUAAUGAUAAAAAGUUCUGUAUAGUAAAUACAUAAAUCACCUAGUGUGAUUAUCAGGUAUUACAUACUAUGCAUAAUUGUAUGUGCAAUACCUUUAAAAGACAGGCAGCACUGUAGGUGUGUUUAUACCAC
rnacentral:lncRNA from 1 species